GCAUUGGUGAUUCAGUGGUAGAGUUCUCACCUUCCACGCAGGAGACCCGGGUUCGAUUCCCAGGCAAAGCA
rnacentral:tRNA from 1 species